ensembl:lncRNA
CCCUAAGUCAGUCUGUACGUCUUAAAGAACAGGGAAAGGCUGGCCAUCUGCCGUGUACUGCUGCUGCCAAAAUUCCUUGGAAUAUUAACAGCAAGACAAAGCCUAGCUGCUGGCAGUCUCCAUCUAGGAAGCGCCGGGGAGCACGAGUGAAAAGAUGCAAAUACAAAAACGGACUCUGCAAAUCAAUGCCUGGAACAAAAAGCUGAACGGGACUUCGAGAUUUUGAGAUUCUCAGGAAAGGAGAGCAGUGUGGAAAACAAUGGGUGGGAAGAUCCCUUCUCAAGAAGUCAUUUUUUCUACUCUCUUUCCUCAAGGGUCAGAUGGAAAUGUGCUGAAGGGGAAACAUCGGGUGAAAGGAGAUUCUCUGAGUUGGAAGGAAAGAGAGAACCUCUCCUGAAGGAAAGAAAGGAUCUGGGAUACCAAAGUCAGAGUUUUAAUACUGGACAGUAGACAGCAUUUCACACUUGGGCACACAAUGUGGGGAUAAAGAGGAGAACUAUCUGGGAACAAGAAGAAAGGACGUGCAUCAGGUUCUGGAGCCUUUCUGGAAAUGUACGAUAGAUGGUGAGCUCACUGAACCUCCAGGAAGGUUGCUGAUAUCCUGACCAGCAGCUGCACAGUUGCUAGUACAAACAUGCAAAGCAAGUUAGAGAGCAUUUGCAGCAAUAGGAUUAGUCCCUAC